rnacentral:rRNA from 1 species
UACAGAGGUCCCGAGCGUUGUUCGGAUUCACUGGGCGUAAAGGGCGCGUAGGUGGUUCUGUAUGUCUACCGUGAAAGCAUACAGCUCAACUGUAUUUUGUCGGUAGAAACUGCAGGACUUGAGGCUGGGAGGGGCUGGUGGAAUUCCCUGUGUAGCGGUGAAAUGCGUAGAGAUGGGGGAGAACACUCGUGGCGAAGGCGGCCAGCUAGACCAGUUCUGACACUGAGGCGCGACAGCGUGGGGAGCAAACAGG